CCUACGUGAGGCUGCAGUGAGGAAUAUUGGUCAAUGGGCGGGAGUCUGAACCAGCCAAGUAGCGUGAAGGAUGACUGCCCUAUGGGUUGUAAACUUCUUUUAUAUGGGAAUAAAGUGUUCCACGUGUGGUCUUUUGUAUGUACCAUAUGAAUAAGGAUCGGCUAACUCCGUGCCAGCAGCCGCGGUAAUACGGAGGAUCCGAGCGUUAUCCGGAUUUAUUGGGUUUAAAGGGAGCGUAGGUGGAUUGGUAAGUCAGUUGUGAAAGUUUGCGGCUCAACCGUAAAAUUGCAGUUGAUACUGGCAGUCUUGAGUACAGUAGAGGUGGGCGGAAGUCGUGGUGUAGCGGUGAAAUGCUGAGAUAUCACGAAGAACUCCGAUUGCGAAGGCAGCUCACUGGACUGCAACUGACACUGAUGCUCGAAAGUGUGGGUAUCAAACAGGAUUAGAUACCCUUGUAGUC
rnacentral:rRNA from 1 species